UAAUAUUCGACCAUUAUCUUCUAUUAUGCCUAUAAAAUAUGAAGUAUUAAUUUUCGUUAUUUCACAUUGUCAUAACAUUCUAAUAAUCUCGGCAAAGAAUAUUUGAUUUAAAGAAAAUCAUGAUGAAGAAAGGAAUCAUUCUCCUAAUGUUUGUGGCUAUGUUUACUCUCUUUAGCCAAACCUAUGGAAGGAAGAUUGAUGGUCGUCCAGACUAUUGUACAAGGGGAGUGAUGUUGUCCGGACUAUGUGGUGACGGGAGUGCAUGUGCCGAUGCAGUCAGAGAGAAAUAUGCAGGAGUGGAGAUUAGAACUUGUUCUUGUCAUGAUACUCCAAUUAAGCUUGCCUUUUGCUCAUGUGAUAUUAUUUGCUAGUUAAGAGAGUAAAAGAAAGUCAUUUUUGAAUCUCAAGGAAUUUCACUUUUUAAAGAUGUAUAAAUAAGAUGAUCCGAUUUCGAAUAUGCGUUUCA